CCUACGGGAGGCAGCAGUAGGGAAUAUUGCUCAAUGGGGGAAACCCUGAAGCAGCAACGCCGCGUGGAGGAUGAAGGUUUUCGGAUUGUAAACUCCUUUUGUUAGAGAAGAUAAUGACGGUAUCUAACGAAUAAGCACCGGAUAACUCCGUGCCAGCAGCCGCGGUAAUACGGAGGGUGCAAGCGUUACUCGGAAUCACUGGGCGUAAAGGGCGCGUAGGCGGGAUAGCAAGUCAGAUGUGAAAUCCUAUGGCUUAACCAUAGAACUGCAUUUGAAACUGUUAUGCUAGAGUAUGGGAGAGGUAGGUGGAAUUCUUGGUGUAGGGGUAAAAUCCGUAGAGAUCAAGAGGAAUACUCAUUGCGAAGGCGACCUGCUAGAACAUAACUGACGCUGAUGCGCGAAAGCGUGGGGAGCAAACAGGAUUAGAUACCCCUGUAGUC
rnacentral:rRNA from 1 species